rnacentral:rRNA from 1 species
AAUGAACGUUGGCGGCGUGGAUUAGGCAUGCAAGUCGAGCGAGAACCGGUUUCGGCCGGGGACAGCGGCGAACGGCGUAGUAAUGCAUCGGAACGUACCCUCUGGUCGGGGAUAGCUACGGGAAACUGUAGGUAAUACCCGAUGAUCUCUGCGGAGCAAAGGUGAGAUUCCGCCGGAGGAGCGGCUGAUGUGAUAUUAGCUAGUUGGUGGGGUAAUGGCCUACCAAGGCGAUGAUGUCUAGGGGGUGUGAGAGCAUGGCCCCCACGACCGGAACUGAGAUACUGUCCGGACACCUACGGGUGGCUGCAGUCGAGAAUCUUCCGCAAUGGACGAAAGUCUGACGGAGCGACGCCGCGUGCGGGAUGAAGGCCCUUGGGUUGUAAACCGCUGUCAGAGGGGAUGAAAUCUUCGGAGGUACUCCUCCGAAGUUGACAGAGCCUCAAGGGAAGCACGGGCUAAGUACGUGCCAGCCGCCGCUGUAACAC